rnacentral:rRNA from 1 species
AUUGAACGCUGGCGGCAGGCCUAACACAUGCAAGUCGAGCGGAUGAGGAAAGCUUGCUUUUCGAUUCAGCGGCGGACGGGUGAGUAAUGCCUAGGAAUCUGCCUGUUAGUGGGGGAUAACUCGGGGAAACUCGGGCUAAUACCGCCUACGUCCUACGGGAGAAAGUGGGGGAUCUUCGGACCUCACGCAAACAGAUGAGCAUAGGUCGGAUUAGCUAGUAGGUGAGGUAAUGGCUCACCUAGGCGACGAUCCGUAACUGGUCUGAGAGGAUGAGCAGUCACACUGGAACUGAGACACGGUCCAGACGCCUACGGGAGGCAGCAGUGGGGAAUAUUGGACAAUGGGCGAAAGCCUGAUCCAGCCAUGCCGCGUGUGUGAAGAAGGUCUUCGGAUUGUAAAGCACUUUAAGUUGGGAGGAAGGGUAUUCACCUAAUACGUGGGUACUUUGACGUUACCAACAGAAUAAGCACCGGCUAACUCUGUGCCAGCAGCCGCUGUAAAAC